rnacentral:lncRNA from 1 species
AGAAAGUUAGUAAAAAGAAAUUGAUAUGGUUUGCCGAGCGUUUUCUUCCUCAAGUUUGAGUCUGUUCUCUUCAGAAAACAAAAAAAAACGAAAGAAAAAUGGUCUGAGUUUGUGUUCUUCAUUCGGGUUUCAUUUCAAAAGAAAUCAGAAAAGAAAAAAAAAAGCACAAAAAAUAUUUUCAGCAUUUUUUUAAUUCUGGAUUCUCGAGAAUGAAGUUGGGUUGAAGUGAUUUCUGGUUCUCGAAGCUGUUGGAUUUGCCGUUUGAUUUUCCGCCGAUUUGCUGUUUUUUUUCUAGCAUUGCUGAGCUUCCAUUCAAGUUGGUCUCAAUUUUUGGUCAAUUUAUUCGAGUUUUCUUGUUCAACCAGAUUAAUUUGAGAUUUUAUGUAUAAUUUUUUUUUUUUUGGUAAAUGAUUAAACAAUUAGGUUCAUGCUUAAACUUGAAGACCCUCUUGAUUCCUGAUUUUUGUUAUUCUGAUGUGUAGUGAAUUGAGCCUAGCAUUUGAUAAUUCUGUUGUAACUUUUUCACACCUCAAAAUCAGAUAGUUUUAG